UACGUAGGUCCCGAGCGUUGUCCGGAUCUAUUGGGCGUAAAGCGAGCGCAGGUGGUUUAUUAAGUCUGGUGUAAAAGGCAGUGGCUCAACCAUUGUAAGCAUUGGAAACUGGUAGACUUGAGUGCAGGAGAGGAGAGUGGAAUUCCAUGUGUAGCGGUGAAAUGCGUAGAUAUAUGGAGGAACACCGGUGGCGAAAGCGGCUCUCUGGCCUGUAACUGACACUGAGGCUCGAAAGCGUGGGGAGCAAACAGG
rnacentral:rRNA from 1 species